AUCGCGGGACCAGGCUGAGGCCCCAUCUGGAUAAACUGAGUCAGAACCCAAGCACUGACAUGAGACGUGACGCAGUUAUCCGUGGCCUCAUACUAUUCCUUGGUGAAAAAGAAGAGAAACUUUUCGAAGAUUGCCUGGAGGACAAUCGCAGUGAUGCCACUCAACACAUAGUCAAGAUCCUGGUUGUCCAUGGUACUGAUGGAGAAGAACCAGUAGAUGUUUCCAUCAUUCUUGAAGGGAAGGAGGUAUUGACACGAUGCAACAGCACAGCCAAAGCUUCCACGUUGCUAAUGGGACUGAUUUAUUCCCCGAACCUUGCCUACCCCUCGACUCUGCGCUACACCUUUGAGGUGUUUCAAAAACUUUUCCUGGAACUGAAUGGGAUAAAGCUGUCACCAAAAGUACAUCUUUAAAGUUGAAGUUGCUGUCUGAAAGGAGUUUUCUUUCUUAAAUGUUCCUAAUGUUGUCAACAAAGGCAACUGCUGUCAUUCAUGCUCACAAGGUAAAGAAAAAGUUAAAAAUAACCUUUUUUUUAAAAGGUUUUAACAGAGGAUUUGAUGUUGUCCUCAAACUUUAAUGUUUUAACCGAAUGCUAAUAUAAAUAUGUUAAUGGAUGUUGUUGUUUAGAAUGUUGUUCAUGUCAGUACAGCAUAUUUUGUCAGGUCAAACCCUCAAUCUGUUUUGUCACCUGAUGUGCCCUGUUUAGUUUAAUGCGUCCAGGGGUCAAAAACAUUUUGAUUUUCCAGUGAUAUGCUUUUUUUCUGUAUAGCGUAAUGAUCACUCAGUAAAGGUAAACAUUUUUUCUUGAUUGAUGCUUUAUUGAUUUACUGCUGCUGAGAUUUCAUUUAAUUUUUUGUCAUGUGAAAUGUUGACUGCUGUUUCAUGUACAGUUCUACAUAGCUGUAUAAAAUGAGGUGUUACGUAAGGUACCUGACAAAGGUUUAUGAAUAAAUAAUGGAAUUGUA